AUGCUUCUCCUAAAGACUAAGCCAUGCAUGCCUUCGAAUAGAAGAGCAUUCUCUUUGAAUCUGCGAACGGCUCCGCAAACCAGUUGUAAACCAUAGCAAGCAAGCCCCAGUACCGGCGCAAGCUGGUGUUGGGGUAAUAGGGUAUAACCCUGGUAAUUCUGAGGCUAAUACAAGAACGUAACACCUGGCUGACCGGGCAACCGGAAGGCUGGGGAACGUGUAAUGGUAAGCAAGGAUGUAUGGGAAUAGAUGCACGUUCAGACCACCAUAUCAACAGUCUCGAGCCAACCUCACGGGCGGUUCUUGUCUGGGUGGCUCUUGCUUCGUGCUUCUGACCUAUCAACUAGAUGGCAGCGUAACGGACAUGCUAUGGUGACAACGGGUACAGAGGAUAAGGGUUCGAUCCUGGAGAGUGGGCCUGAGAGAUUGCUCACACUUCUAAGGAAGGCAGCAGGCGCGCAACGUUCCCCUUGGGCAAUGCUCGAGGGCGUUAGGGGAAAUAUGAAUGUCUGCCUUAUGGUGGACAAUUCAAAUGGGUCUGUUGUAAACAGCCUCU
rnacentral:rRNA from 1 species